rnacentral:rRNA from 1 species
CCUACGGGAGGCAGCAGUGAGGAAUAUUGGUCAAUGGCCGGAAGGCUGAACCAGCGAAGUCGCGUGAGGGACGACUGCUCUAUGGGUUGUAAACCCUUUUUAUAAGGGAAGAAUAAAUGCUUCGUGUAGCAUGAUGCCUGUACCUUAUGAAUAAGCAUCGGCUAACUCGGUGCCAGCGGCCGCGGUACUUCGGAGGAUGCGAGCGUUAUCCGGAUUUAUUGGGGUUACAGGGUGCGUAGGCGGAUUUUUAAGUUAGUGGUUAAACGUCGGGGCUUCACCUUGAUUUGCAAGUAAUACUGUAAGACUCGAGUUCAGACGAGGUAGGCGGAAUAAGUGAAGUAGCGGUGAAAUGCGUAGAUAUAAGGUAGAACGCCGAUAGCGAAGGCAGCUUACCAGACUGCGACUGACGCUGAAGCACGAGAGCGUGGGUAGCGAACAGGAUUAGAUACCCCGGUAGUC